ACACGACUACAUUAGAUACCCGGGUAGUCCUAGCCGUAAACGAUACUCGCUAGGUGUCGGCCACGGUGCGACCGUUGUCGGUGCCGUAGGGAAGCCGUGAAGCGAGCCACCUGGGAAGUACGGCCGCAAGGCUGAAACUUAAAGGAAUUGGCGGGGGAGCACAACAACGGGUGGAGCUUGCGGUCUAAUUGGAUUCAACGCCGGAAAUCUUACCGGGACCGACAGCAACAUGAAGGCCAAGCUGAAGACUUUGCCGGAUUAGCUG
rnacentral:rRNA from 1 species